rnacentral:rRNA from 1 species
CACGUAGUUAGUCCGUGGCUUAUUCGACAGGUACCGUCUUCUGCUCUUCCCUGUCAAAAGAAGUUUACAACCCGAAAGCCUUCUUCCUUCACGCGGCGUUGCUGGGUCAGGCUUGCGCCCAUUGCCCAAUAUUCCCCACUGCUGCCUCCCGUAGGAGUCUGGGCCGUAUCUCAGUCCCAAUGUGGCCGGCCAACCUCUCAGUCCGGCUACUGAUCGUCGCCUUGGUAGGCCGUUACCCUACCAACUAGCUAAUCAGACGCGAGGCCAUCUCUCAGCGAUAAAUCUUUGGUACCAGUACCAUGCGAUACCCGUACGUUAUGCGGUAUUAGCAGUCGUUUCCAACUGUUGUCCCCCUCUGAAAGGCAGGUUCCUCACGCGUUACUCACCCGUCCGCCACUAAGUAGUCCUCUCCAUUGACCGAAAUCUCUUUCGAGGGUACUCCGUUCGACUUGCAUGUGUUAAGCACGCCGCCAGCGUUCGUCCUGAGCCAGGAUCAAACUCU